ensembl:snoRNA SNORA70 Small nucleolar RNA SNORA70
CUGCAACCAGUUAAACUCAUCAGGUUCCUUUUCUCGGGGGACCUGGUGUGCAGUGGCUGCCGGCAGCAGUCCCCUUGGGAAUGCACGCAGCCUGUUGCUUGUAUGGAUUCCCUAAGGAACCCUGAAGACCAUU